rnacentral:rRNA from 1 species
UACGGAGGGUGCGAGCGUUGUCCGGAAUCACUGGGCGUAAAGGGUGCGUAGGCGGGUCUUUAAGUCAGGGGUGAAAUCCUGGAGCUCAACUCCAGAACUGCCUUUGAUACUGAGGAUCUUGAGUUCGGGAGAGGUGAGUGGAACUGCGAGUGUAGAGGUGAAAUGCGCAGAUAUCAGGAAGAACACCCGUGGCGAAAGCGGCUCUCUGGAACGGUACUGACGCUGAGACGCGAAAGCGUGGGGAGCGAACAGG